UUUUUUUUUUUUUUUUUGUUAUUAAUUAUUUGUGAAUUUAUACUUUUUUAAAAAGAAUUAAUCAUGGCCUUAAUAUGUAUCGGUUCUAUUUGCUUUUCUGUGUUCCAAGUAGUUGUUUUACUUUUACUUUGUAUUAAUUUUUUUUACUCUCAUAUUAAAAAAUUUAUUCCUCAACGAUUUUUAAAAAAUAAUGGUAAUUAUUGCAUUCUCUAUGUUGUUUGUUCAUCCUUUCGUUUGCCUUAUCUGUUUGUGCAUUGAUUUAUUUCUUAAUCCAUUUCUCAUAAAUAACAUAUUUUUAUUAUGUACCUUUUUCAUCUAAUUAUAGAUAUAAAAAGACAAAUAACUAACAUUUUAGAAUCGAAAAAGAAAAACAAACAGUAUGAGGAAAGUCAAUAUAUAAAACUACCCCAAAAAAAAACUUUAAAAGACAUAUUUGACUUAACAGAAACACAAUCUAUUGUUUGUAAAUUUGGGAGUACACGUUGUAAACCAUGUAAUGCUAUUCAUGAAUAUUUUAAGAAUCAAAAAAGUAUUUACGUUGUUACACUAGUUGACAUCGAUGUAGAUAUUCAUGAGUCGUUAGCGAAAGAAUACAACAUAAGAGCUUUACCUACGUUUGAGUUUUACUUUUUAUUAAAUAAUGAAUGGGUUAUGGCAGAACGGGUAAUAAAUUACUUUUUUUUGAGCAAAAAAAAAAAAAAAAAAAAAUGGGCAAUAUAUAUAUAU
rnacentral:lncRNA from 1 species